rnacentral:misc_RNA from 1 species
AAAGUCGUAACAAGGUUUCCGUAGGUGAACCUGCGGAAGGAUCAUUAAAAAUCUUGUGGUUGGGUGGUGGUGGGGUGUGGGGUAGGUGGGUGUGGCUGUAGUAGCUACGACCCAACUAGCCCAUAGCCCAUAGCCCACAACACAUAUGCACAAGGCCGCAAGGCCUUGAUGUUUACGCUUGUUUGUUUGACAGAUUUAUUUGUGCCAAAAUAUAUACAACUUUUAACAAUGGAUCUCUUGGCUCUU